AUACGGAGGGUGCAAGCGUUACUCGGAAUCACUGGGCGUAAAGCGCGCGCAGGCGGCUAUUUAAGUUGGAUGUGAAAGCCUACGGCUCAACCGUAGAACUGCAUCCAAAACUAUUUAGCUAGAGAGUGGGAGAGGAAGAUGGAAUUAGUUGUGUAGGGGUAAAAUCCGUAGAGAUAACUAGGAAUACCAAAAGCGAAGGCAAUCUUCUGGAACACUACUGACGCUGAGGCGCGAAAGCGUGGGGAGCAAACAGGAUUAGAAACCCUAGUAGUCC
rnacentral:rRNA from 1 species